AGAGUGUGAACUACAUCAGAAGACCUACUCCCUCUGGUGGAACCUCUGGUCUGUGUUUUAAGAAGCUGAACAUUACAACUCAAUCGUAUAGAAUUAUGGUCAACCGCUUGGACCGGAAGGUUUCGGUGAAUCAGAUUACGGCACGGC